rnacentral:lncRNA from 1 species
ACUGUGGCAGAAGGAAAGGAAAAAUGGUGAACCACUUCCUGGCUCGAAAAGCUUCUGUGUGGAAGUGACACACAUCUCUUCUGUCUACAUUUCAGAAGGGAUGGGGCCAGGGAUGCUGAGGACACACCAUGUACCCUUUUUCAGGCCAUAUCCAGUAACAGAGUCUACUGCAUCAUAUUAACUGAUAAACCCAGGAUGACAAGAGAAACAUGGGACUCACUCUUCAUUUGCAUUGACUCCAGCUAAGAGCUUCAGUUUUCAUGCUUUGCUUCAGAAUUAUUGUGGUCUGAUGCAGAACUGAAAAGGCCAACACGAGAAUCUUCAAGUACAAUUGCCUGGGAAUCCUGAGGUCUGGACAGCAACACCUGAAUCUGAAUCUCUUUUGGGUUGAAUCAUAAAAGAAAAUAGUAUGGAGAGAUUUAAGGCCAGGCCUCUGGAGAAGGAAUUGAUAAAAUAUGUGGUAGUACCUGCGCUACAGAACAGAAUUCACUUGGAAGUUCUUGGCAUAUAAAUGAAAACAGAUGGGCUGGGAAGCCAGUGGAUCAAAAGAAGGACCUGGGGGAAGCUCAGCUUGGGGACCGGCUUGCUCUUUGCCCUCACUAUUUGUCAACUGGGAAUCUCCUGGGUGCUCAGCUGUGCUGGAAUCUCAGAUGAGUAAAUUGAAGCCCAGAAAGG